CAAUAGCGUAUAUUAAAGUUGUUGCAGUUAAAAAGCUCGUAGUUGGAUUUCUGGUGGGAGCGAUCGGUCUGGCGCUUAGCGCGAGUACUUACAUCGUCUCCGGCCAUCCUUGGGGAGAGUCUGUCUGGCAUUAGGUUGUCGGGCAGAGGAUCCUCAUCGUUUACUGUGAAAAAAUUAGAGUGUUCAAAGCAGGCUUAUGCCGUUGAAUAUAUUAGCAUGGAAUAAUAAGAUAGGACUUUGGUACUAUUUUGUUGGUUUGCGCACCAAAGUAAUGAUUAAUAGGGACAGUUGGGGGUAUUCGUAUUCCGUUGUCAGAGGUGAAAUUCUUGGAUUUACGGAAGACGAACUACUGCGAAAGCAUUUACCAAGGAUGUUUUCAUUAA
rnacentral:rRNA from 1 species